CUUACUACUAUGUGUCAAGCACUGUUUUAAAGUGCUAUAUAUCUGGCAGAAGCUUUUAGGGUACACAUUUGCCAGAGUGAUUAGUUCCAGUGGAGGAAACCAUUUAAAUGAGGGCAGGGAUGGGAUCGUGGGGAAACAGGGAAAGAACAUUAGAGGAGCAGUGAAACACCUUGAAUCCAUCAAAAUCUUUGAGAGAGAAGCAUAGGAAUCAGGCUGGAUUUUCAAUAUGGAGGUGACUCUUUCCAUCACGUGCAGGGUAUCGGAUUGGGGGAGAUAUGGAGAACUAAUUCCUCGAGGAUUCCAAUGAGAUUUCUUUUGAAAUCCAUUCAGAGACUAUGGCAAAUCUUCUGUGAAAUCCCCAAACACCAUGGGGCUCCUCAUUUAGAGAACACAACAACUGUUAAUUCUUUUGCCAGCAACAGUUUCACGGGGACAUUUUGAGGAAACCAACCAACGUGACGUGCAGAGUUUAAACUCUCCCAGAACUUAGUACAGUGCCUGACACAUAGUAAGCGCUUACAAAAGUGUUCUUUGUUUUUGUUAUUAUUAAAAUCCUCUUACUUACAAAAGAGCAGAGUGCAUCUUACAAUAAUGGUUUGAGAAAACAUUGCACCACCUCACUCGAUUCACCACAUGAGGGCAUUAUCAUCCAGUCACAACCCAUUUCUUCCAUAUUCAAAGGAUGUCUGUUGUCAGACAAACAAUUUUACCUUUACCUCUUCCUUGGGUGUCACUGAGAGAGGAUACUGAGAGAGCAGAGAUCAGUUGACCAUGGUCUUCCCUCCAGGCUGUGUACUUGUGAUCUUAUUGGUUUUGGGGCAGACGGAUGGAGACUCGGUGGAUCAGACGAAAGGCAGCAUAGCCCUUGUUGAAGGGAAAGAGCUCCUUCUCAACUGUACUUACGUAAUUAGCACCUCUUUGCCUUAUCUUUUCUGGUACAUCCAGUUGCCCUGGGAAGGCCCUCAGCUCCUCCUGAAACACACGUCUGGGAAAGAACAGGAAGUAACUGGAAAUUAUUUUUAUGCCAAACUCAAUAAAACUGAGAAGUCUUUCCACCUGAGGAAACAAGCCAUCACCGUGGGAGACUCGGCCAUGUACUACUGUGCUGUGAGUGACACAGUGACGGGGGCUGCAGGGGGAGCUGUACAUAAACCCCUGAUGGACCCAGCAGCCACCAGCUGGAAGCAGAGUUGCCUUCUCUCCCGCAUCCACAGACACACACCAGGCCUGGGGUCAUCUCCAAGGAGCUGGGAAACUCCAGGCCCUGAUGGUCCAUCAGAGACCAGCUGGAGUCAUCUCCAGUUUACACAUUUCUUGUCCUGCAUUCUCCUCCCCAGCUCUUUCUCUCCUUCAAUGCCCUCAUCCCUUCCUCUCUCAAUCAGACGGAUGCACUCAACAUGGCCAGUGGAUGGAAAAGGCUGGAGGAUUUUGUGACCAGUGGCCACCUGUACAUGGGAUCCCCAUGAAGAUAAGGACCAGGAUCUCGGAUCCUCUGAAGUGCUUCUCCCCAUCCUUUCCUUCUCUGAAAAUCUUUUCUCUGGAAGAUUUCCCUCCUCUCCCUGAUUUCAGCACACCAUUUGAUCCAACAUGGGGAAAUACCCCAAGAACUGUAGCAUCCGUGCUGGGAUGAAGUUGGUGAAAGAGCAGCCAGAAUGUAGAGGCUGGAGGAUUGAAAAAGGAUUGAAUGCUCAGCAUCCAAUCAGUAAUUAGAUUGCUCCUUGGCUGCCUGGAUAGACCCAUCAGUAACCAAACAAACCUUAUAGUUGGCAAACCAGUAAUACCACCUGGAAAACCAAAACGUAUGCAUUUACCCCAAUUUUCUCCUCAGUCAGUCUGAAAGUCAGCCCAUAGGUCCAUCUUUAUAAAAGACAAAAAACAGACUGUUUCUGUCCCAGAGGAGACACCAAUCAAACUAGAAACGGAGGUCUUGAAGCACUUAGUACAGUGUUUUUCACACAGUAAGCACCCAAUGAAUACAAGGGAAUGAAAAGAAAAAUUCAAUUCUACAGAUGAGAAUAGGCAUCAAAUACCUAAAACAGAAACACAAAAGAAAUAUGUUUUUAAUAGUAUUUGUUAAGUGCUUACUACUAUGCAUCAAGCACUGUUUUAAAGUGCUAUAUAUCUGGCAGAAGCUUUUAGGCCACUCAGUUGCCAGAGUGAUUAGUUCCAGUGGAGGAAACCAUUUAAAUGAGGGCAGGGAUGGGAUCGUGGGGAAACAGGGAAAGAACAUUAGAGGAGCAGUGAAACACCUUGAAUCCCUCCAGAUCCUUGAGAGAGAAGCAUAGGAAUCAGGCUGGAUUUUCAAUAUGGAGGUGACCCUUUCCAUCACGUGCAGGCUAUCAGAGUGGGGGAGAUAUGGAGAACUAAUUCCUCGAGGAUUCCAAUGAGAUUUUUUUUGAAAUCCAUUCAGAAACUAUGGCAAAUCUUCUGUGAAAUCCCCAAACACCAUGGGGCUCCUCAUUUAGAGAACACAACAACUAAUUCUUUUGCCAGCAUCAGUUUCACGGGAACGUUUUGAGGAAACCAACCAACGUGACGUGCAGAGUUUAAACUCUCCCAGAACCUAGUACAGUGCCUGACACAUAGUAAGUGCUUACAAAAGUGUUCUUGUUUUUGUUAUUAUUAUAAUCCUCUUACUUCAAAAGAGCAGAGUGCAUCUUACAGGAAUGGUUUGAGAAAACAUUGCACCACCUCACUCGAUUCACCACUUGAGGGCAUUAUCAUCCAGUCACAACCCAUUUCUUCCAUAUUCAAAGGAUGUCUGUUGUCAGACAAACAAUUUUACCUUUACCUCUUCCUUGGGUGACACAGAGAGAGGAUACUGAGAGAGCAGAGAUCAGUUGACCAUGGUCUUCCCUCCAGGCUAUGUACUUGUGAUCUUAUUGGUUUUGGGGCAGACGGAUGGAGACUCGGUGGAUCAGACGAAAGGCAGCAUAGCCCUUGUUGAAGGGAAAGAGCUCCUUCUCAACUGUACUUACGUAACUAGCGCUUCUUUGCCUUAUCUUUUCUGGUACAUCCAGUUGCCCUGGGAAGGCCCUCAGCUCCUCCUGAAAACCACAUUUGGGAACGAACAGAAGGUAACUGGAAAUGAUUUUUAUGCCAAACUCAAUAAAACUGAGAAGUCUUUCCACCUGAGGAAACAAGCCAUCACCGUGGGAGACUCGGCCAUGUACUACUGUGCUGUGAGUGACACAGUGACGGGGGCUGCAUAGAGAGCUGUACAUAAACCCCUGAUAGACCCAGCAGCCACCAGCUGGAAGCAGAGUUUCCUUCUCUCCCUCAUCCACAGACAUACACCAGCCCUGGGGUCAACUCCAAGGAGCUGGGAAACUCCAGGCCCUGAUGGUCCAUCAGAGACCAGCUGGAGUCAUCUCCAGUUUACACAUUUCUUUCCUUGCAUUCUCCUCCCCUGCUCUUUCUGUCCUUCAGUGCCCUCAUCCCUUCCUCUCUCAAUCAGACGGAUGCACUCAUCAUGGCCAGUGGAUGGAAAAGGCUGGAGGAUUUUGUGACCAGUGGCCACCUGUACAUGGGAUCCCCAUGAAGAUAAGGACCAGCAUCUCGGAUCCUCUGAAAUGCUUCUCCCCAUCCUUCCCUUCUCUGAAAAUCUUUUCUUUGGAAGAUUUCCCUCCUCUCCCUGAUUUCAGCACACCAUUUGAUCCAACACGGGGAAAUACCCCAAGAACUGUAGCAUCUGUGCUGGGAUGAAGUUGGUGAAAGAGCAGCCAGAAUGUAGAGGCUGGAGGAGGGAAAUAGGAUUGAAUGCUCAGCAUCCAAUCAGAAAUUAGAUUGCUCCUUGGCUGCCUGGAUAGACCCAUCAGUAACCAAACAAACCUUAUAGUUGGCAAACCAGAAAUACCACCUGGAAAACCAAAACGUAUGCGUUUACCCCAAUUUUCUCCUCAGUUAGUCAGUCUGAAAGUCAACCCAUAGGUCCAUCUUUAUAAAAGACAAAAAACAGACUGUUUCUGUCCCAGAGGAGACUCCAAUCAAAUAAGAAACGGAGGUCUUGAAGCACUUAGUACAGUGCUUUUCAUACGGACGUCUGUUGUUGGCCAAACAUUUUUACCUUUACCUCUUCCCUGGGUGUCACUGAGAGAGGAUACUGAGAGAGCAGAGAUCAGUUGACCAUGGUCUUCCCUCCAGGCUGUGUACUUGUGAUCUUAUUGGUUUUGGGGCAGACGGAUGGAGACUCGGUGGAUCAGACGGAAGGCAGCAUAGCCCUUGUUGAAGGGAAAGAGCUCUUUCUCAACUGUACUUAUGUAACUAGCGCCUCUUUGCCUAAUCUUUUCUGGUACAUACAGUUGCCCGGGGAAGGCCCUCAGCUCCUCCUGAAACACACGUCUGGGAAAGAACAGGAAGAAACUGGAAAUGAUUUUUAUGCCAAACUCAAUACAACUGAGAAGUCUUUCCACCUGAGGAAACAAGCCAUCACCGUGGGAGACUCGGCCAUGUACUACUGUGCUGUGCAUGACACAGUGACGGGAGCUGCAAGGGGAGCUGUACAUAAACCCCUGAUAGACCCAGCAGCCACCAGCUGGAUUCAGAGUUUCCUUCUCUCCUUCAUCCACAGACAUAAAACAGCCCUGGGGUCAUCUCCAAGGAGCUGGGAAUCUCCAGGCCCUGAUGGUCCAUCAGUGACCAGCUGGGGUCAUCUCCAGUUUCCACAUUUCUUUCCUUGCAUUCUCCUCCCCUGCUCUUUCUGUCCUUCAAUGCCCUCAUCCCUUCCUCUCUCAAUCAGACUGAUGCACUCAACAUGGCCAGUGGAUGGAAAAGGCUGGAGGAUUUUGUGACCAGUGGCCACCUGUACAUGGGAUCCCCAUGAAGAUAAGGACCAGGAUCUCGGAUCCUCUGAAAUGCUUCUCCCCAUCCUUCUCUUCUCUGAAAAUCUUUUCUCUGGAAGAUUUCCCUCCUCUCCCUGAUUUCAUCACACCAUAGAUCCAACACAGAGAAAUAACCCAAGACCUGUAGCAUCUGUGCUGGGAUGAGGUUGGAGAAAGAGCAGCCAGAAUGUAGAGGCUGGAGGAGGGAAAAAGGAUUGAAUGCUCAGCAUCCAAUCAGAAAUCAGAUUACUCCUUGGUAGCCUGAUAGACCCAUCAGUAACCAAACAAACCUCAGUGUUGGCAAACCAGAAUACCACCUAGAAAUCCAAAACCUAUGAGUUUACCCCACUUUUCUCCUCAGUCAGUCAGUCUGAAAGUCAGUCAGUCUAUUAGUCCAUCUUUAAUAAAGACAAAAACCAGACUAUUUCUGUCCCAGAGGAGACUCCAUUCAAACAAGAAACGGAGGUCUUGAAGCACUCAGUACAGUGCUUUUCACACAGUAAGCAACCAAUGAAUAUGACUGAAUAAAAAGAGAAAUUCAAUUCUACAAAUGAAAAUAGGCAUCAAAUACCUAAAAGAGAAACAAAAAAGAAAUAUGUUUUUAAUAGUAUUUGUUAAGUGCUUACUACUAUGUGUCAAGCACUGUUUUAAAGUGUUGUAUAUCUGGCAGAAGCUUUUAGGCCACUCAUUUGCAGGAGUGCUUAGUUCCAGUGGAGGAGACCAUUUAAAUGAGGACAGGGAUGGAAUCGUGGGGGAAGAGGGAAAGGACAUUAGAGGGACAGUGAAACACCUGGGAACCACCAAAAGUCUUUGAGAGAGAAGCAUAGGAAUCGGGCUGGAUUUUCAAUAUUGAGGUGAUUCUUUCCUUCACGUGCAGGCUGUCGGACUGGGGGAGAUUUGGAGAACUAAUUCCUCGAGGAUUCCAAUGAAAUUUAUUUUGAACUCCGUUCAGAGGCUAUGGCAAAUCUUCUGUGAAAUCCUCAAACACCAUGGGGCUCCUCAUUUAAAGAACACAACAACUGUUAAAUCUUUCACCAGCAUCAGUUCCACGGGGAUGUUUUGAGAACAUCAACCAAUGCGAUAUACAGAGUGUAAACUAUCCCAGAACUUAGUACAGUGCCUGACACAUAGUAAGCGCUUACAAAAGUAUUCUUGUUUUUGUUAUUAUUAUAAUCCUCUUACUUACAAAAGAGCAGAGUGCAUCUUACAGGAAUGGUUUGAGAAAACAUUGCACCACCUCACUCGAUUCACCACAUGAGGGCAUUAUCAUCCAGUCACAACCCAUUUCUUCCAUAUUCAAAGGAUGUCUGUUGUCGGACUAACAAUUUUAUCUUUACCUCUUCCCUGGGUGUUACAGAGAGAGGAUACUGAGAGAGCAGAGAUCAGUUGACCAUGGUCUUCUCUCCAGGCUUUGUACUUGUGAUCUUAUUGGUUUCGGGGCAGACGGAUGGAGACUCAGUGGAUCAGACGAAAGGCAGCAUAACCCUUGAUGAAGGGAAAAAGCUCCUUCUCAACUGUACUUACGUAAUUAGCACCUCUAUGCCUAGUCUUUUCUGGUACAUCCUGUUGCCCGGGGAAGGCCCUCAACUUCUCCUGAAAACCAUAUCUGGGAACGAGCAGAAUGUAACUGGAAAUGAUUUUUAUGCCAAACUCAAUAAAACUGAGAAGUCUUUCCACCUGAGGAAACAAGCCAUCACCGUGGGAGACUCGGCCAUGUACUACUGUGCUGUGAGUGACACAGUGAUGGGGGCUGCAGGGGGAGCUGUACAUAAACCCCUGAUAGACCCAGCAGCCACCAGCUGGAAGCAGAGUUUCCUUCUCUCCCUCAUCCAUAGACACACACCAGCCCUGGGGUCUGUCUCCAAAGAAAUGGGAAACUCCAGGCCCUGAGGGUCCAUCAGAGAUCAGCUGGGGUCAUCUGCAGUUUCCACAUUUCUUGUCCUGCAUUCUCCUCCCCUGCUCUUUCUGUCCUUCAGUGCCCUCAUCCUUUCCUCUCUCAAUCAGACUGAUGCACUCAAUAUGGCCAGUGGAUGGAAAAGGCUGGAGGAUUUUGUGACCAGUGGCCACUUGCACAUGGGAUCCCCAUGAAGAUAAUAAUGUUAGUAUUUGUUAAGCGCUUACUAUGU